rnacentral:rRNA from 1 species
UAAGAUUAUGGCUCUGGAUGACCGCUGGCGGCGUUCCUCAUACAUGCCAGUCGUGCGAACUGAUUAGAAGCUUGCUUCUAUGACGUUAGCGGCGGACGGGUGAGUAACACGUGGGCAACCUGCCUGUAAGACUGGGAUAACUUCGGGAAACCGAAGCUAAUACCGGAUAGGAUCUUCUCCUUCAUGGGAGAUGAUUGAAAGAUGGUUUCGGCUAUCACUUACAGAUGGGCCCGCGGUGCAUUAGCUAGUUGGUGAGGUAACGGCUCACCAAGGCAACGAUGCAUAGCCGACCUGAGAGGGUGAUCGGCCACACUGGGACUGAGACACGGCCCAGACUCCUACGGGAGGCAGCAGUAGGGAAUCUUCCGCAAUGGACGAAAGUCUGACGGAGCAACGCCGCGUGAGUGAUGAAGGCUUUCGGGUCGUAAAACUCUGUUGUUAGGGAAGAACAAGUACUGAGAGUAACUGCUCGUACCUUGACGGUACCUAACCAGAAAGCCACGGCUAACUACGUGCCAGCAGCCGCGGUAAUACGUAGGUGGCAAGCGUUAUCCGGAAUUAUUGGGCGUAAAGCGCGCGCAGGCGGUUUCUUAAGUCUGAUGUGAAAGCCCACGGCUCAACCGUGGAGGGUCAUUGGAAACUGGGGAACUUGAGUGCAGAAGAG